rnacentral:rRNA from 1 species
UACGUAGGGACCGAGCGUUGUCCGGAUUCAUUGGGCGUAAAGAGCUCGUAGGCGGCUAUUCAAGUCGAACGUGAAAUCUCGGAGCUCAACUCCGAAACUGCGUUCGAUACUGGGCGGCUAGAGUCUGGUAGGGGGGAUCUGGAAUUCCUGGUGUAGCGGUGGAAUGCGCAGAUAUCAGGAGGAACACCGGUGGCGAAGGCGGGUCUCUGGGCCGAUACUGACGCUGAGGAGCGAAAAGCAUGGGGGAGCGAACAGG